rnacentral:sRNA from 1 species
CAUUUUAAAUGGAACCUCCCAGCCCAUCCCCUACCCACCUGUCCUGCUUUUUUUUUUCUCCUUAUCACUUUCUCACCACUAGAGGCCAGCUCCAGGAGGGCAAGGGUUUUUCCCUGCCUGCCGCUGUAUCCCCAGUGUCUAGAACAAAGCCUAGCACAAGGAAAAGAAAAAAGCCAUCCAGGAGGAGGAGGAGAGAGACCAGGCCUUGCAGGCCAAGGCGAGCCUGACUAUCCCACUGGUGCCCGAGACGGAAGAUGACCGCAAGCUGGCGGCUCUGCUGAAGUUCCACACCCUGGACUCCUACGAGGACAAGCAGAAACUCAAGCGGACCGAGAUCAUCAGCCGCUCCUGGUUCCCCUCCGUCCCCGGAUCCGCCUCCAGCAGCAAGGCCAGCGGCGUCCUGAAGAAGCUGGCACAGAGCCGCAGAACCGCACUUGCCACCUCCCCCAUCACCGUGGGGGACCUGGGCAUCGUGCGGCGGAGGUCUCGGGACGUCCCGGAGAGCCCCCAGCAUGCGGCCGACACCCCCAAAUCUAGGGAACCGCGGGUACCAGAGGAGGCUACCCAGGACCGGCCCAUGUCCCCCGGAGACUGUCCUCCGGAAACAGCUGAGACCCCCAAGUGCAGCAGGCCGAGGGGGCAGGAAGGGAGCCGUCAGGACAAGCCCCUGUCACCAGCAGGCU